CCCUGGGGAAAUGAAGCCUACAGUUCUACCACUGGCCACUAGAUGUCGCUUUUCAGCCACAGUUCCCGGCUGGUGGACUCGCAGGAAAGGCGGAAGACACUGCCUGAGAGAGCCGAAGCGACAGACUCAGGCCUCACAGCCAGUUGGUACGGAGCCAGGAUCCGGAGCCAGGUGUCUCCGACGCCCCUGCCUGGGCCCUUUCUCCGCCACUGUGACCUCCAGGAGAUCCCGAGGGUGUCUUUCAGACUAAGGCAGAGAGCUGUGAUCACAGCCCCUGGGGUCCCCCUGCCUGCCUCAGGGCAUUAGCUGCCUGCCCACCCCGGCCCUCUCCUCUGAGAUUGCUGACCCCUGCGCAUCUUUCCCCAAUGUGUACGGUGUGUGCAAACUGCUCGCAGUUUAGCCUUUGAGCCCGUUUCCUCCUCCGUAAAUCCGGCUUUCAGGGUUGACACACUCAGAUUCCGCCUCCUGGGGUGGGGGGGGGCCUUCCGGGGCCACGCCCCAGGAGGCAGAGCCCCGCACUCACGAAGGGGUGAAAGUAUUUCACAUCUUCGCUGGUUUAUUAUCAUUGGUUCCCCAAGAGAAUGGAAGCUGCACAAAGACAGGGGCUUGACCUGAUAUGUUCACUGUUUCCUCCCCAACACCGAGGACCAGCCCCUAAAGCCGUGCCCGGCACACACGGCGUUCAGCAUGUAUCUGUGUGUGUGCAUUUCUCGGUGUGUGGUGAAGCACGAAUGAGUGACUUUAUGAUACGAUACAGCUACCAGUCCUGGAGUGCUCACUGCGUGCCAGGCACUGCGUUGAGAUUCCUAACAACCCCAUGAAGAAGGGCAAUUGGUAUACCCAUUCUGCAGAUCAGAACCCCGAGUCGUGUGGCAGUUAAAUAACUUACCCACACCCUAUGGUCUGGCUUUCAACCCCUGCGUGUCUGACUCCAGUGCUUAUCAGAAUGUUUCAUCGACUCAAAAGUGCCUAAAAACCAAGUGGCUCAUUUCGACAGAGCAUCUCCGGGUCUUGCUAAGAGCUGGACCUCUGCCGUGCGUGGAGACCCCUGCGGGGCCGGCCCUCUCCCAGGCCUCCUGGCCUUGCCGAGGGGAGAAGCACCGAGGCCCCACGGGAGCCCUGAGCAGAGACUCGCAUCUUCUCCCUCUCGCCGGCAGUGGUCCAAAAUUGAAAACAAACACUUUAAAAUAAAAGCCAUAUUAAAACCCAAACCCAGCUUUCUGCCUUAAAAUAUUGUGAGCCAGGGGGGCAAUUAGCAAUUAUGCUGUAUUUUAUUAUGAGGAGAUGGAAUUCUAAUUGGACUGAUUUGAAUUCCACACACCUCCACAGAUUGUUUUGGGAAUUAAGGUAUCAGUUGUAUCGGUAAUUAUGGUUUACCGUGAAAUUACCCCCCCACAGAAA